rnacentral:sRNA from 1 species
UGGAUGAGACGAAAUCUCUGAGGCGCU